GAGUUUGAUCAUGGCUCAGGAUGAACGCUAGCGAUAGGCUUAACACAUGCAAGUCGAGGGGUAACAGGCGGUAGCAAUACUGUGCUGACGACCGGCGGAUGGGUGAGUAACGCGUAUGCAAUCUACCUUUUACUCGGGGAUAGCCCAUGGAAACGUGGAUUAAUACCCGAUGCAUUUCUUUUGUGGCCUCAUGAAGGGAAUAAAGAUUUAUCGGUAAGAGAUGAGCAUGCGUUCCAUUAGGAAGUUGGUAAGGUAACGGCUUACCAAUCCGAUGAUGGAUAGGGGUUCUGAGAGGAAGGUCCCCCACACUGGAAUUGAGAAACGGUCCAGACUCCUACGGGAGGCAGCAGUGAGGAAUAUUGGUCAAUGGUCGUAAGACUGAACCAGCCAAGUCGCGUGAAGGUAACUGCCCUAUGGGUUUUCAACUUCUUUUGUCAGGGAAGAAUAAGGAGGAUUCAAUUCUCCGAUGCCG
rnacentral:rRNA from 1 species